rnacentral:misc_RNA from 1 species
CCAAUAGCGUAUAUUAAAGUUGUUGCAGUUAAAAAGCUCGUAGUUGAAUUUCGGGAUCAAAGGAUCGGUCAUGCCUUGGUAUGUACUGGUUUUAUUGGUUCUCACCUUCUAAAGAACCAUAAUGUCAUUCAUUUGAUGUUAUGGGGAAUUAGGACUGUUACCUUGAAAAAAUUAGAGUGUUUAAAGCAGGCUCACGCUUGAAUACAUUAGCAUGGAAUAAAGAAAUAGGACGUUUGAUUUUAUUUUGUUGGUUUCUAGGAUCGACGUAAUGAUUAAUAGGGAUAGUUGGGGGCAUUAGUAUUCAAUUGUCAGAGGUGAAAUUCUUGGAUUUAUUGAAGACUAACUACUGCGAAAGCAUUUGCCAAGGAUGUUUUCAUUAAUCAAGAACGAAAGUUAGGGGAUCGAAGACGAUCAGAUACCGUCGUAGUCUUAACCAUAAACUAUGCCGACUAGGGAUCGGAUGAUGUUAAUUUUUUAAUGACUCAUUCGGCGCCUUACG